AGCUCCGAUAGCGUAUAUUAAUGUUGUUGCAGUUAAAAAGCUCGUAGUUGAAAGUCCGGCAAGAUUUAAUCUUGUCUGCCUGUAAGGAUUUACGACGAAGAAAUGACUCGUUCUUCUAAGCAGGCUUUUACCGUGAACAAAAUAGAGUGCUCAAAGCAGGCGUUUGCUUGAAUAAUACAGCAUGGAAUAAUAAAAUAGGACUUUAUCCAUUUUAUUGGUUAUUGGAUGAAGUAAUGAUUAACAGAAACAGUUGGGGGCAUCAGUACUUAAUAGUCAGAGGUGAAAUUCUUAGAUUUAUUAAAGACUAACUAAUGCGAAAGCAUUUGCCAAGGAUGUUUUCAUUA
rnacentral:rRNA from 1 species